AGAAUUAAGAUCAUCAGAAAAGAGUUUGCCAGAACAAGCAUAUGUAGGCAAGGCACAAACAUUUAGCAUUCUACAAUAUGAAACACAGUUCUCCUAUUUCUGUCUUAAAAGCAAACAAAAGGGGACAAGAACUGAACUUUGGGAUCCAGGUCAAUAUACCUGCUACAUAACCCAUAACACACAUUCACAUAUACAGAUUUCCGCUGCUGGUGGAGGAAAAGAAUGGACAUUGCGGCCAUUAGUUUAGAAUAAAAAAAGGAGGAAGAACAGAUUGGACAAGGCAGAGUCAGUGAAGAGACAGUACUUACCCAAAAAGGUAAGGAAGCCUUGCAGAAAAGCUUCUAAAUUGCACACAAUGAUCUGAAGAUACUGUUGCAUAAAAUGAGGAAGUGGAACGACACACUCUCUUCCUGCAUCUCAACAUCAUACAACAUUUAUGUUGCAUUUUAUAACAAGACAGCAAAAUUGUGGCCAUGCAUGCCUCCAAGGCUACCACAUAGCACUCAUCUGUUUGGAAAUUUAAGACAUGACUGUGAAAUAUAUGUUGUAUCUAUAAAACACUACUGUUCCUCAAGUGUAAUUUACCAUCUCAAGAUACACAUAGUGUUGCUGCUAAUCUAAAAUGAAUCUUUAGUUCAAAACAGCCAAUGAAAAAAGCUAUGCUUUGCUUUGAUAAUAGAGAUACAAGAUAACAACAAUAAAGACAAAUACUUUUAGGAGAAGAUAAUUAUUUACUUGGAAAGAUACAAGAUUAAUAUUCAAUGCUAGAUGCAUU